GACGAACGCUGGCGGCGUGCUUAACACAUGCAAGUCGAACGGAAAGGCCUCUUUCUGGGGGUACUCGAGUGGCGAACGGGUGAGUAACACGUGAGUAACCUGCCCUUGACUUUGGGAUAACUUCAGGAAACUGGGGCUAAUACCGGAGAGGAGCUCCUGCUGCAUGGUGGGGGUGGGAAAGUUUCGGCGGUUGGGGAUGGACUCGCGGCGUAUCAGCUUGUUGGUGGGGUAGUGGCUUAACAAGGCUUUGAGGGGUAGCCGGCCUGUGAGGGUGAACGGCCACAUUGGGACCGGGAUAAGGCCCAGACUCCUACGGGAGGCAGCAGGGGGGAAUAUUGGACAAUGGGUGGAAGCCUGAUGCAGCAAAGCCGUGUGCGGGAUGACGGCCUUCGGGUUGGAAACCGCCUUCGCUCAUGACGAAGCUUUGUGUGACGGUAGUGGGUAAAGAAGCACCGGCUAACUACGUG
rnacentral:rRNA from 1 species